AUAUCCCCAUCUGCAGAAGUUUUGAUGCUCUGUGAUCUUAAAUCAUCUGGAUAGGCACUACCAAGAGAAGACUCAGAAUCAUUUCUUGAUAACCUUGCAGGGUCAGCACCAUAAUUUAGNNNNNNNNGGAAACUUCCUUCGGACACCUUCCGGCCUCCCAGAAAAGCUUUUCUCAAAACCAUUUGGUGGGGUGCUCUCAAUUUGUUCUGCCUUCCCAAGAUAGGGAGAAGAGUCAGUCAUGAGAUUCUCUCUACAGCUCCAGCUCCUUGUUAACUGCAUGUUCCUGGAACUUGAAAUAUCAGCUGCCAAGGAUUGUGGAGAUGUUUCAUCAGGGUCAGGACUGACAAGAUCAUCUACGGUCCUUUGCACAUGAUGCAGCCUCUGCUCCAACAUGUCAUAUGUGAAACCAUUUUGUAUGCGACUCACUUCUCUACGUCCAUUUGCUGGAGUUGAUAUUUGUUGCCCUGCUGCUGCAUCAUCCCCAAACAUUGUCAAAGCUAAUGUCCCUUCAUUUUCACCAUUUGAUAUAGAAUGGGGUUCAAAACUGCUCUCUCUUCUUGUCUCAUCCAUUUCAAUACAUUGAACUUCCUUGCAGUAGUCAUCAGUAUUUUCUGCAGGUCCAACAGCGGUAUCCUCCAGACUCUGACAGGAACUGGAUCUAACAAACUUCUUUCCAAUUGACAUCAGUGAAGAAGUACCAUCAGACACAGAAUGGUCAUCAUUAUUAUCCUGAAGAUAGUAGGACUCCUCCAUGUUGCUCCCACUGUCUCCAUAUUCAUCUUCCCAUGUAUGCCCUGCUUGCUGAUUAGGAUGAGGGCCAACCACAGCCCCAUUUCUUGAAGUUUGAUUCUGUCCAAUCAUUCGCAGCAAAUCCUCAACCCGGGAUUCAGCAAGAUCCCGUUGCUUGGUCAACUCUCGAAUCUCCUUCUCCAUCUUUUGAAUUUGAAGAUCUUUCUUUCUAAGUAAUGCCGCAUAAUCACUGGUUGAGGAAGCAGUGACAGGACUUCUCAACUCACUCUCCAAUCUAGCCAACUCU
rnacentral:misc_RNA from 1 species